ACAUGGAUAACCGUGGUAAUUCUAGAGCUAAUACAUGCUGUCAGGCCCAACUUCGUAGAAGGGUUGUAUUUAUUAGAUAUAAGCCAAUAUUCCUUCGGGUCUAUUGCGGUGAUUCACAAUAACUGAUCGAAUCUCUUUUAGAGAUAAAUCAUUCAAGUUUCUGCCCUAUCAGCUUUCGAUGCUUAGGUAUUGACUAAAGCAUGGCUUUAACGGGUAACGGAGAUUCAGGGUUCGAUUCCGGAGAGGGAGCCUGAGAAACGGCUACCACAUCUAAGGAAGGCAGCAGGCGCGUAAAUUACCCAAUCCUGAUUAAGGGAGGUAGUGACAAGAAAUAACAAACAGGGGAUGUUUCAAAUCUUACUGUAUUGCAAUGAGGAAAAUUUAAAAACCUUAUCGAGAAACAAGUGGAGGGCAAGUCUGGUGCCAGCAGCCGCGGUAAUUCCAGCUCCACUAGCGUAUAUUAAAAUUGUUGCAGUUAAAAAGCUCGUAGUUGAACCUCUGACUAUGCGCAGUUCUGGUUUUCAAUCAAGCUGCGUGUAGUCAUCCAUCUGCAAACCUUUUCGGGCAUUCAGUUGUUCGGCUAGGAGAGUAGAUAUUUUACUGUGAAAAAAUUAGAGUGUUUAAGGCAGACAAUGGUUUGAAUACAUUAGCAUGGAAUAAUAGAACAGGACACUUGUUCAUUUCGUUGGUUAUUGGACUCGUGUAAUGAUUAAUAGGGACAGUUGGGGGCAUUUGUAUUUAAUUGUCAGAGGUGAAAUUCUUGGAUUUAUUAAAGACAAACUUAUGCGAAAGCAUUUGCCAAGGAUGUUUUCAUUAAUCAAGAACGAAAGUUAGGGGAUCAAAGACGAUCAGAUACCGUCCUAGUCUUGACUAUAAACUAUUCCGACUCGGUUUUGGCAUGGCGCAUAUAACCAUGUCAGCGCCGUAUGAGAAAUCAAAGUUACGGUUCCGGGGGGAGUAUGGUCGCAAGACUGAAACUUAAAGGAAUUGACGGAAGGGCACACAAGGUGUGGAGCCUGCGGCUUAAUUUGACCAACACGGGGAAACUUACCAGGUUAAAACAUUAGUGGGAUUGACAGAUUGAGAGCUCUUUCUUGAUUCAAUGGGUGGUGGUGCAUGGCCGUUCUUAGUUCGUGGAGUGAUUUGUCUGCUUAAUUGCGAUAACGCGACGAGACCAUUACCUGCUUACUAGACACGC
rnacentral:rRNA from 1 species